rnacentral:tRNA from 1 species
AAAGCUUUAAGUUAAGUAAACUAUGAACCUUCAAAGCUCAAAUUAAUUAAAAAUUAAGCUUUA